GACGAACGCUGGCGGCAUGCCUAAUACAUGCAAGUCGAGCGAACAGAUGAAGUGCUUGCACUUCUGACGUUAGCGGCGAACGGGUGAGUAACACGUAAGGAAUCUACCUAUAAGCGGGGGAUAACAUUCGGAAACGGGUGCUAAUACCGCAUAAUAUCUUCUUCCGCAUUGACGAAGAUUGAAAGACGGCUCUGCUGUCACUUAUAGAUGACCUUGCGGUGCAUUAGUUAGUUGGUGGGGUAACGGCCUACCAAGACGAUGAUGCAUAGCCGACCUGAGAGGGUGAUCGGCCACAUUGGGACUGAGACACGGCCCAAACUCCUACGGGAGGCAGCAGUAGGGAAUCUUCCGCAAUGGGCGAAAGCCUGACGGAGCAAUGCCGCGUGAGUGAAGAAGGCCUUCGGGUCGUAAAACUCUGUUAUAAGAGAAGAACAAAUUGUAGAGUAACUGCUACAGUCUUGACGGUAUCUUAUCAGAAAGCCACGGCUAACUACGUGCCAGCCGCCGCCGUAA
rnacentral:rRNA from 1 species